rnacentral:rRNA from 1 species
UACGUAGGGAGCAAGCGUUGUCCGGAAUCAUUGGGCGUAAAGCGCGCGUAGGUGGCCUCGUAAGUCCGCUGUGAAAGUCAAAGGCUCAACCUUUGAAAGCCGGUGGAUACUGUGAGGCUAGAGUACGGAAGAGGCGAGUGGAAUUCCUGGUGUAGCGGUGGAAUGCGCAGAUAUCAGGAGGAACACCAAUAGCGAAGGCAGCUCGCUGGGACGUUACUGACGCUGAGACGCGAAAGCGUGGGGAGCGAACAGG